rnacentral:lncRNA from 1 species
UUUUUCUUGCGGAGUAAGUUGACUGUGUUGCUACUUUCUUGAUGCUAGGAAGACUGUAUAAAUGUUAUGUUUAACUUUUUCUUGUUCUUUUUCUAUCUGUCUUUUCCAGAGAGGUCAACUUGCAGGAACAUAUGCAUUUGGAACUUUUUACUAUUUCACACUACUAAAAUGAGAUUCUAGUGUAAUAUUUGUUAUCAAAUUUUAGUGCUUGUUCAUUACUUCAUUAGACUGUUAUAUUAAGAAUAGAUUGCUUGAAUAAAUAACUAUGUUUUUAUGUUCACGCAGCUGACAGAUCUUCUGGCUUUUCUGUAAGGUACCCUUUUAUAUGCGUUGAAUUAUGAAAUACAAGUCUAAAUGAUAGAAUUUACCUGUGAGCUUUCCAGUUGUCGAGGUGAACUGAUUAGUUAACUAAAUGCAGUGGAAUUGAAAGGGAAUUUUUUUUCUGUGGCAGCUGAGGUUGGUCCAUGGCGCAAAACUGGUUGUCUAGGUAAUGUUCAAUUGCCCCCACCUAUGGUUUUCAGUUGUUUAAAUGACCAAUUAUUGAAGUUUUAUCUUUCUAAUCUUAUGAUUCAUUUAAUUUAAUUUGUAGGCGAAUGGGCACAAAGUGAUGUCUGUCUAUCCACAUUAUGAUGUCUUGGCAUACUUUUGUCUUUGUUGAGGUUUAACUCUUAAUCUCCAAGUCGAAUUUCUUAAUUGCUUUUCUUUCAAGAUUCAAUUAAAAUAAUGAUGAUCUUAUUACAUAUUAAUGUCCGAGAUAAACUGGAGACGGUUAAGUAGAGAAUAAGAUCUCGUCAAUUUGCUGAUAUAUGUAAAUUAUUUUGGGUGUAGCUUUAUUGAAUAAGACCUUUUAAUUUUGCAGGGAAUUAUAAUUUUGCAGAGAAGUAUUAAGUUUUUAUUGAUCAAAUGCAUCCUAUCAAGUUCGAAGUUGGAUAUUUUUAGCACGUGUUUGGAAGA